GACGAACGCUGGCGGCGUGCCUAAUACAUGCAAGUAGAACGCUGAAACUUGGUGCUUGCACCGAGCGGAUGAGUUGCGAACGGGUGAGUAACGCGUAGGUAACCUGCCUGGUAGCGGGGGAUAACUAUUGGAAACGAUAGCUAAUACCGCAUAAGAGUAGAUAUUGCAUGACAUUUGCUUAAAAGGUGCAAUUGCACCACUACCAGAUGGACCUGCGUUGUAUUAGCUAGUUGGGGGGGUAACGGCUCACCCAGGCGACGAUACAUAGCCGACCUGAGAGGGUGGUCGGCCACACUGGGACUGGGACACCGCCCAGACUCCCACGGGAGGGAGCAGGAGGGGAUUUUCGGCAAUGGACCGAAGGCUGACCGAGCAACGCCGCGGGAGGGAAUAAGGUUCUCGGAUCGUAAAGCUCUGUUGUAAGGGAAGAACGAGUGUGAGAGUGGAAAGUUCACACUGUGACGGUAUCUUACCAGAAAGGGACGGCUAACUACGUG
rnacentral:rRNA from 1 species